AGAGUUUGAUCCUGGCUCAGAAUCAACGCUGGCGGCGCGCUUAACACAUGCAAGUCGCACGAGAAAGGGGAGCAAUCCCUGAGUACAGUGGCGUACGGGUGAGUAACACGUGGAUCAUCUACCUUCUAGUGGGGAAUAACCCAGGGAAACCGGGGCUAAUACCGCAUAAGCUCGAGAGAGGAAAGCAGCAAUGCGCUGGAAGAGGAGUCCGCGGCCGAUUAGCUAGUUGGCAGGGUAAAAGCCUACCAAGGCAUAGAUCGGUAGCCGGCCUGAGAGGGCACACGGCCACACUGGCACUGAAACACGGGCCAGACUCCUACGGGAGGCAGCAGUGGGGAAUCUUGCACAAUGGGGGAAACCCUGAUGCAGCGACGCCGCGUGAGCGAUGAAGCCCUUCGGGGUGUAAAGCUCUUUCGGCAGGGAAGAUUAUGACGGUACCUGCAGAAGCAGCUGCGGCUAACUACGUGCCAGCAGCCGCGGUA
rnacentral:rRNA from 1 species